rnacentral:rRNA from 1 species
UACGGAGGGAGCUAGCGUUGUUCGGAAUCAUUGGGCGUAAAGCGCGUGUAGGUGGUCAGUAAAGUCGGGUGUGAAAGCCCUCGGCUCAACCGAGGAAGUGCAUCCGAAACUAACUGGCUAGAAGGUGGCAGAGGGAGGUGGAAUUCCUAGUGUAGAGGUGAAAUUCGUAGAUAUUAGGAGGAAUACCGGUGGCGAAGGCGGCCUCCUGGACCAUUCUUGACACUGAGACGCGAAAGCGUGGGUAGCAAACAGG